CGUGUGCUCUGCCGAUCUGUGUUUGCCUGCAGGAGGCUGAAACUUGGCCAGGCCCCUCUGCUGUUCCCGAAGAGCCCCAGCAUUGCAAAGCUAGGAGGGGUUCUAGAAGACCAGUGUGUCUAACCAACUCACUUUCAGAUGGGAUGUCUCAGACCCCAAGGGACUGUGAAAUGCCUAAAGCACCUUGCUGUUUAGCUACAGAGCCAGCCAAGGGCCCGGAAUCGGUAUUUGUUACU